rnacentral:rRNA from 1 species
UACGUAGGGGGCAAGCGUUGUCCGGAAUCAUUGGGCGUAAAGCGCGUGUAGGCGGCCCAGUAAGUCCGCUCUGAAAGCCCGGGGCUCAACCCCGGGAGGCGGGUGGAUACUGCUGGGCUCGAGUCCGGAAGAGGCGAGUGGAAUUCCUGGUGUAGGCGGUGAAAAUGCGCAGAUAUCAGGAGGAACACCGAUUGCGAAGGCAGCUGCGCUGGGACGUACUGGACGCUGAGACGCGAAAGCGUGGGGAGCAAA